rnacentral:lncRNA from 1 species
CUUUUCUUUUUAGUGCUGAAUAAUAUUCCAUUGUCUGGAUGUACCACAGUUUAUUUAUCCAUUCAUCUACUAAAGAGCAUCUUGGUUGCUUCCACGGUUUGGACCAUGCUGUGAGGCACCCAUGGAGCCACGUGGAAAAGUCCCAGCUGGCAAGGGCCAAUUGCCCUCCAGACACAAGAGUGAAAGGGCCUUCAGAUGACUCCAGACCCAGCCUCUGAGCCACUGCAGCAGAUGCCAAGUGGAGUGAGCGCUGCCUGGAUUUCAGAUCUGGUACAGCGGCACUUCCCAACCGUGGCUAAGACCAGAAUCACCUACGGGGCUAAGAUCAGAAUCACCUACGGAGCUCACAUGUUAGAGACCCACCCCAGACCUAGUGACUCAGAACCUCCCGCGACGGAGCAUGGGCACUUUUAUAGCCAACAUGCAUGGAAGAGAAAGUGUCAAGCGUGGCCAAAUGAGAAGAACCAAUCUUCAGGCUGGGAAUGCCAAAUCCACUAGCCUCUUCAUGCUUCCUUCCUCUGAGAAGGAGAUGGCCCAUGUAGGAGGGAGCAUGGCAGGCUAUCAAAGGUAGGGUGACACAGGAAUCAGGUUGAUGAAGGUGCUAAAGAGGGAAAGGCUGUGAGUUUGUUUCUUAAAUGAACCAGUUGACUCUUCUGAAGCUCUUGGCUGAAGUCUGUGCCCCUGGCCCCAGACAGGUAUUAUAUUAGUCAGGAUUCUCCAGAGAAACAGAGCAAACAGAAC